rnacentral:tRNA from 1 species
GGUGGCUCAGUGGUAGAGCACUUGCCUCUCAUGCACGAGACCCUGGGUUUGAUUCCUCAGCACCA